rnacentral:rRNA from 1 species
GACGAACGCUGGCGGCGUGCUUAACACAUGCAAGUCGAACGGAAAGGCCCUGCUUGCAGGGUACUCGAGUGGCGAACGGGUGAGUAACACGUGGGUGAUCUGCCCUGCACUUCGGGAUAAGCUUGGGAAACUGGGUCUAAUACCGGAUAGGAACCAUCUUUAGUGUGGUGGUUGGAAAGUUUUUUCGGUGUAGGAUGAGCUCGCGGCCUAUCAGCUUGUUGGUGGGGUAAUGGCCUACCAAGGCGGCGACGGGUAGCCGGCCUGAGAGGGUGUACGGCCACAUUGGGACUGAGAUACGGCCCAGACUCCGACGGGAGGCAGCAGUGGGGAAUAUUGCACAAUGGGCGCAAGCCUGAUGCAGCGACGCCGCGUGGGGGAGGAAGGCCUUCGGGUUGUAAACUCCUUUCGCUAGGGACGAAGCUUUUUGUGACGGUACCUAGAGAAGAAGCACCGGCUAACUACGUG